GAAGAUGCGAAGUACCAACGAGUAAGGACGACGUCGUUUUUGGUAUUCCUCGGGUGGUCAAGAUUCGAGCUUUAAAUGUAACCACGUCGACGCUGUUUAGACAAAGCUCACGUCUGUUAUAUGCGAAUUUCUUACCGAACCCCAGUCGUCGUCACCAUUUCCCCCAAGAUUUCUCUCUCUCUCUCUCUCUCUCUCUCUCUCUCCCCCUCUGGGUGUGUAUACUUUUGCUGAUUCUGGCCUCACAUUUUCGGGUAAAUUUAUUAUCCUCAGCACUUGAUAUGCAGACCUGACCACAGACCUGACCACGGGGAGAUACUUGAAGUUCAUAUUUUUGGGUUGCACGCUGCAGAUCUCAUCCAUGAAGCAUCCAAUUCCAUAGCGUUGGGGACACGUAUUCUGGUUGUUUUGCUUUGAUAAAUACCAAAAUUCUGCUACAUCAUUCCCCACACCUUAAUAUGUGAGGUUUCAGAAUGGAUCACUUUCUUGCAACUUUGAAGGUUUUCCUUAGCUUUCAACCUGGGACUUCAUUUUUUGUUCGUUAACAUCUAGCUCUGAAUUUUCCGACUAGUGAACCAAUUGCAGUAAAGAAGCUGGUGUAGAAGUUUUGGAGAGAACUUGUAUCAGAGAAUUCAAGAGACUGCACGUCUUCUCGGAAGGAAAAGAGCCCACAGAUCACAUGACGAGUGAGAACAAACAAGUUAGUUAGAGAACUUGCCUUUUUCUCGGGCCAGUCAUGAUAUAACAAUUGCAACAAUUUGUUUUUGGUGAUUGUAAUUCAAGUCAUUGCAGACUUAAUUUUCUUCACAAACUUUCCC